UUUAACAUUAACACUACUUUCUAUGUCAUCAACACCCCCAUCGGGUUCAUCUCUAUCUUUAGCAUCAUAGGAUCCACGUUCCGACCCAAUCCUCACCUAUCUAGUUACCAAGCGUUCCAAGUACACUAGGUUAUCAUUUAGAAAGCAUAAGGAAUGGAGCUACUAUGCAAUCCUACAAUGCAACAUGAAGAGAUGAGAUUAAAUGCAAUCUAAGACAUAGAAAGGAGUUCGAAAGCUUCGGGAUGGCACCCCCCACCUUUAAUCGAUGUAGAGGCUUCGGAAAUCCUUCUCGGCGAACUUUACGAAAAGGCUUUAGCCUUCCUCGCCCAAAUCAACACUAGCCCGGCCUGAUUUUGCCGAGGACUUCACGUCGGUUCGCCGAAUGCCAAAAUCGACUUCGCCCCCACGAUUCGUGACCUACCAGUAGGGUUUCCAAGGCUUCAAAUGAGAUCAAUCUCAUACUUUCACAAAAACCCCAUUUUGGAGCCCUAGGUUUGCACAUAUAGCAAACCACUAAUAAAUCCCUAGAUUCAUGGGAUUGAUCUACUUAGAAGCAUGCUUAGGGUCCAUUUGACCCAUUCCUAAGCAUAAAAACCCAAAAUCCUUAGUUCUAGAAGCUAGGGUUCAAGAGCUUACCUCUUGUGCUACACCAAAGAGAAGAGGAGAGGGAGAUGAAGGUGUCCAAGGCCUUCCUCUUGAUCUCCUUCUUCUUCUCCUUCUUGUCCUUCUCCUUCUUUUCCUUCCUCUCCUUCUUGUUCUUCUUCUUCUCCUUUCCUUUCUAGAGAGAGAGAGAGCUAGAGAGAAAGAGUGGGAGAGAGUGUGAGUGAGGGUGAGAGAGGAAGAGGGCUCAGCCCCUCUAAUCCCCCCCUAACUAAUGCCAUUUUGCAUAAAAACCCCUCGACUUUUAAUCCUAUACACUGCUCUUACUGGGCAGUUUUCGCGCGGAGGGACCGGUCUCCCCGACUUGGGACCGGUCCCCGAGGGCUUCCCUCAGGCGCACGCGUUCAGGAACCGGUCUCUCCCCGGGAGACCGGUCUCUCCCCGGGAGACCGGUCCUCCCCUAAGGGACCGGUCCCCGAGAGCUCGAUUUUCAGGACUUAGCCAAAUUUCGGCAUUUCUCGCUGGGACCACGUUCGGGAACCGGUCCCUCCUAACCAGGGACCGGUUGCAUCAAGCAACCCCGCUACACCCAGCCGAGGGAACCGGUCUCUCACCUGCAGAGACCGGUCCCCGACAGCAACAUUAGCCCAAUGAUGCAGUUUACCUCAUUUGCUCUCGCGGACUCAACUCCAAGGCACUUUUUGUGCUUUGGACAUCUUUAACUCCCACAAAGGGUAUUCUCUCGACAGUUAGUCGAUCCUGGAUGAAGUACAUUCCUCGGAUUCGAGAAUUCACUUCCUUACAUCCUCCCCUCCUUAAAAGGAGUUUCGUCCUCGAAACUAACUCAAUUCUUUAUUUUAACUUAAAUUCUUACCUUACUCCUCAAAACAGAUGAGGGUGGUGCUUUCUCAUCAAACCCUCGAGUUCCCAGGUGGCCUCGCGAUCCUCGUGAUUGCUCCACCUAACCUUCACAUAGGGGAUUUCUCGAUUUCUCAACUUUCGAACCUCUCGGGCGAUAAUUCCUACCGGAAACUCUUCAUAGAUCAAGUCUCCUUGAAGUUCCAGCGGUUCAUAUAGCAUCGCGUGCUCGGGGUCGUGGAUAUACUUGCGGAGAUUGGAGACAUGGAACACAUUGUGUACAUCCACAAGCUUCGGCGGCAAAGCAAGUCGGUAGGCCACCGUGUUGACUCGCUCCAAUAUCUCAUAUGGUCCAAUGUAUCGCGGGCUUAAUUUUUCCCGUACUCCAAACCGCUUCACACCCCGCAUCGGCGAAACUUUCAAGAAUACGCGGUCGCCUACCGCGAACUCUAUAUCUCGACGGCGCCUAUCUGCAUAGCUUUGCUGUCUCGACUGCACCGUGAGCAAUCUCUUGUGAGCAAGGCGGACUUUCUCUUCCGCUUCUCGCAACACAUCGGGGCGGAACUCAGCAUGCUCACCUACAUCACUCCAGUGUAUAGGAGACCGACACGUCUGCCCAUAGAAAGCCUCGAACGGUACCAUCUCCACACUAGCAUGAUAACUGUUGUUGUAGGCGAACUCGGCCAUAGGUAGGUGGUCACGCCAACUUCCCUUAUAGUCGAUGACACACGCUCGCAACAUGUCCUCCAGAGUUUGAAUAGUUCUCUCUAUUUGCCCAUCGGUCUGAGGAUGAAAUGCGGUGCUAAAGUCGAGCCGUGUGCCAAGGGCUUCCUGCAGGUUCUUCCAGAAGUGUGAAGUGAACCGGGGGUCGCGAUCAGACACGAUCGAUUUCGGCACCCCAUGCAGUCUCACUAUCUCGUCAAGGUAUACCUGCGCUAACUUGUCGUCCGACCACGUGGUGUGAAUCGACAAGAAGUGGGCCGACUUCGUCAAUCGGUCCACAAUUACCCAAAUUGCGUCGUGGCCGUCUGUUGAGCGAGGCAAGCCGACAACGAAGUCCAUUGAUAUAUCCUCCCAUUUCCAAACAGGGAUUGGUAGGCUUUGGAGCUUUCCCGUUGGAAAUCGACGCUCGGCCUUCACUUGUUGGCAUGUUAGGCACCUUGCCAUAAAGCGUCCAAUAUCACCUUUCAUUCCCGGCCACUAAUAAUGUAUUUUUAGUCCAUUAUACAUCUUGGUGCUGCCCGGGUGAUCGGCGUAUGGAGAUCGGUGUGCUUCUUGCAUAAUCAAUUCACGAAGCUCUCCAUCUUUCGGCACACACCAUCGGUUUUGAAACCGAAGCGCACCAUCGGCGUCUACCUUGAAAUCGCCGCCAUGUCCUUCCUCGAUAUUUCACCGCACCUUUUGGAGUUCUGGGUCUGCGGGUUGCAGAUCUUUGAUCCUCUCCAACAAGGUCGGUUGGACAACGAGUGCCAUCAACUGAGUCGGGACCUCGGGAGCGACCACUUCAAGGUCUAAUCGCUCCAUAUUCGGCCACAAGGGUGUUUGCUGGAUAACAUCAAAAGCGAGGUUCUUCGCCGACUUCCUACUAAAUGCGUCCGCGACCACAUUUGCCUCCCCGGGGUGGUAGAGGAUAUCAACAUCAUAAUCCUUCAACAGCUCCAACCACCGCCGCUGACGCAUAUUGAGCUCCUUUUAUGUGAACAGGUACUUCAAGCUCUUGUGGUCGGUAUAGAUCUCACAAUGGGCACCAUAUAAGUAGUGCCUCCACAGUUUCAAGGCGAAAAUCACCGCCGCUAGCUCCAAAUCAUGGAUGGGGUAGUUCUUUUCAUAGCUCUUCAGCUGACGGGAUGCGUAGGCAACCACCUUCCCAUUUUGCAUCAAUACACACCCCAAUCCAAGAUAGGAGGCGUCACUGUAGACCACGAAGUCUUCGCCCUGCACCGAUAGAGCGAGCACCGGAGUCGAAGUCAGCCUUUGCUUCAACUCUUUAAAACUCCGGUCGCACUCUUCGCUCCAAACGAACUUGGUGUCUUUCUGAGUCAGGCGGGUAAGUGGAAUCACUAUUUUGGAAAAGCCUUCUACAAACCGCCUAUAGUAGCCCGCCAAGCCCACGAAGCUUCGAACCUCCGUGACGUUUGUCGGGCGCGGCCAAUCCUUGAUUGCCUCAACUUUCCUCGGGUCUACAGAAACUCCACCCACAGAAAUCACAUGCCCUAAGAAGGCGACCUCGCGAAGCCAGAAGUCACACUUCUUCAAUUUAGCAUAUAGCUUCUCCUCCCGAAGGGCUUGAAGCACUAUCCUCAAAUGCUCGGUAUGUUCCUCGUCACUACGAGAAUAGACCAAUAUGUCGUCCAUGAAGACCACGACAAAUCGAUCCAAGUACUCCUUGAAGACACGGUUCAUUAAAUCCAUGAACGCCGCUGGAGCAUUCGUGAGUCCAAAUGGCAUAACCGUGAAUUCGUAGUGUCCAUACCGCGUGCGAAACGCCGUUUUCUGCACAUCCUCCGGCUUGAUCUUCAGUUGGUGAUAGCCGGAUUGCAAAUCUAUCUUCGAGUACAAACACGACACUUGCAACUGAUCGAACAAGUCAUCGAUUCGGGGUAGUGGGUACUUGUUCUUGAUCGUGACUCUGUUCAAUUCUCGAUAGUCCACGCAGAGUCGGAACGAUCCAUCUUUCUUCCUCACGAACAACACAGGGGCUCCCCAUGGUGAUACACUCGGCCGGAUAAAUUGCUUGUCGAGGAGGUCUUGCAAUUGACUCCUCAACUCCUUCAAUUCCGUCGGCGCCAUUCGGUACGAAGCCUUCGAGAUCGGUGCAGUACCGGGAACCAAGUCUAUGACGAACUCGAUCUCCCGAUCCGGUGGUAUCCCCGGCAACUCUGUAGGAAACACAUCCUGGAACUCCCGCACCACGGAUAACUCCUCUAAUGUUGGAGCCACUCAUUCCACCUCCACAACAGUUGCUAAAAAUGCCGUGCAACCGCUGUUGACCAAUUUCCUCGCUCUCGUCGCCGACACCGUCGCGACGAAGCACGAGCUCUGACAAGCCCGAUAGGUGAAUUCUUCUUGUCCUGGCUCGCAGAACGUGAUCACCCUGCUCUUGCAGUCGAUCGUUGCAUGAUAUUUCGAGAGCCAGUCUAUGCCCAGAAUGACAUCGUAAGCCUCAAGCUUUGUGAGUUCCAGUGUCCGGAUAGGCAUAAUCCAGUCGCCUACUUGUACGGGACACGACGCACACUCCGAGUAAGUGUUAAACGUCGACCNAUGCAAGCUCAUUCGUUCUUUGACUUUACUUUGUACUUUGUUCUUUAUUCUUUGCUCUUGUUCUUUGUUCUUUAAUCUCAAGGCUAACCCGGGGGUAUCGCCACAUUGACUUGCUUCACAUUAAGUCCAUCAUCGCAGGAACUCACCCGCUAGGACCGUCCUUCGGGUUUACUCCAACCCGUGAUGCAUAACUCCGGAGCGCAUCGCCCAAGGGGGAGCGACCGCCCUCGAGCACGGAACUCAUAGCAAGUACGAUCAUAUCCUUAACUCAAAGGAUUUUAAGUUCAAUCUUGACUUUAAACCAGCUCUAGUGUUCUUUACAUCACUUUAUGUUGCAAACUCAUGCAAUCACAUUCUUUACAUUUCUCUACUCUUGCUAACUCUAGCAUUCUUGUUCGUUACAAUACAUGUUCUUAUUGCCCCACUUUCCUUUAAUCUUAUACAUUGUCAUUUUCAUCACUCUUUACAUCACGUUAGUUCUUUGCAUUACACUAACUCUAGUGUCUCUUUACUUUACAUUUUCAAAUGCCACUCGAUCUAUGUCAUAGUGUCACUCUGUUCUUUUGCUCACUUUGGGUGCUCACUUUUCUCUCAUGCAUACAUAUAGGGUUUUCAACAUUCACAUAGUUCUCAUUCAUCAUAUUAUGCAAGUUGUACUCACAAUCAUGCAUCAUCACAUUCUCAUCAUUACUUUACCCUAAAAUGCAUGCAACAAUAUAUAUAUAUAUAUGUUCAAAUGAAUGACACAUUAGGCGUAGAGAGAAGUUCAAUGAGUUUGAGAAGCACCACCCACCUCGUAGGCUUUCAAAGGUGCUCCGAUGAUUUUCUUGGGAUUUUUAGAUGCUUCGUUCUUUACCUGCGGCAAAACGAACCCCUAUUAGGCCAUUUUGCCCAUAACUUUACUUUGACUUUUCCUAACGUUUAUCCGAGCGCACCAACGCGUCGGAAAUACCCCCAAUUAGGUUUCUAGAGGGUCAAUUGCACUUAGAAAUCCUCAUGAGCAAAAGCCCCAAUUUGGUGCCCUAACUCCAAUACAUACAUCAAACCUAGGGUUUGAUCUCAUUGGGAAGCGAAAGUAGCUUCAUUAUACUCUAAAUAGUCCAUUAGAACCAUUCUUAGCCUUUCCAAAAUCCUAGUUUGGAUUUCACCAUGAGAGGUGGUCCAAGCUCACCUCUAAAGCAAACCAAGGUUUUGAUCUCUAAAGAAGCAAAGAGAAAGCUUCAAAAACUCUAAACAAUCCAUUAAAAUCAUUUUUAGGCUCAUUCAAACUCAUUUCUAGGACUUUACUACACUAGGGUUCAAAGCUUACCUUGUAAGCUUCCUUUUUUUGCACUAGAGAGGAAGAAGAUGAAGCUCCUUUGCUCCUUGAUCUUCUUCUUCACCUUCUUUUCCUUCUUCUCCUUCUUUUCUUCCUUUCUUCUUCUUCUCCUUUGUCUUCUAGAGAGAGAGAGGGAGAGAAGAGAGUGUGAGAGGGGAUGAAAUGAGAGAAAUAUCUCAUUUACCCUCAUAACAUAACCAUUGGGCUGCAAAAAUGCUAAUAAACCCCUCAACUUUUAUCUCUGUGCACUGCCUGGACUGGGCAGUUUUCGCAGGCAGAGACCGGUCUCCCCGAGCAGGGACCGGUCCCCGAAGGUCCACCCUGCGCAGCCAGAGCUGCCGCGCGGAAUGCAUCCGGUCCCUCCCUGGUGGGACCGGUCUCUGGGGGACCGGUCUCUCAGACAGAGACCGGUUCCCGAGAGCUGUCCUUCCAGGACUUAGCUGAUUUUUCGGCUGUCUCAUUCUGCACGCGUUCGGGGACCGGUCUCUCCCACCAGGGACCGGUCCCCGAGAGCUGAAAAUCUGCAGUUUUGCAGAAUUUGAUUCUUUAGCUCUCGAAAACCUCCCGUAACUCACUUUUACUCAUUUUAACACCUUCGGACUUUCCGAAGUGUACCAUCCUCACACUUUGGUCAAUUUGACUAAAGUUCGAUAUUUAUUCUCCGAAUUUUCGGUAUAUCACAAAUCCCCUCCUAACUAAUGCCAUUUUGCAUAAAAAUCCCUCGACUUUUAAUCCUAUACACUGCUCUUACUGGGCAGUUUUUGCGCGGAGGGACCGGUCUCCCCGACUUGGGACCGGUCCCCGAGGGCUUCCCUCGGGCGCACGCGUUCGGGAACCGGUCUCUCCCCGGGAGACCGGUCCUCGGGAGACCGGUCCUCACCUGAGGGACCGGUCCCCGAGAGCUCGAUUUUCAGGACUUAGCCAAAUUUCGGCAUUUCUCGCUGGGACCACGUUCGGGAACCGGUCCCUCCCUGCCAGGAACCGGUUGCUUCAAGCAACCCCGCUACACCCAGCCGAGGGAACCGGUCUCUCACCUGCGGAGACCAGUCCCCGAGAGCAACAUCAGCCAAAUGAUGCAGUUUGCCUCAUUUGCUCUCGCGGACUCAACUCCAAGGCACUUUUUGUGCUUUGGACAUCUUUAACUCCCACAAAGGGUAUUCUCUCGACAGUUAGUCGAUCCUGGAUGAAGUACAAUUCUCGGAUUCAAGAAUUCACUUCCUUAUAAUCGGUCAUCAAAAAUUAUUGAAAAAUGAACUGUCACUAUCUCAGAUGGCCCUACAUUGAAUGAUGUUUUUUAUGUUGAGGGGCUUAAAUCAAAUCUCGUAAGUAUAAGCCAAUUGUGUGAUGAUGGGUAUUCUGUGAAAUUUUCUGAUAAAGAAUGCAAUGUGACUCAUGAUGAUUCUAUUUUCUUAAAAGGUGGAAGAUCUGAGAAUAACUGUUAUGUAGUUCCUAGUUCUUCAACUGAACAUUGUAACCUAGCAAUAUUAGAGACCGAAACAUUAUGGCAUGAACGACUAGGUUACAUGAACUUUAAGGAACUAUCUAAGAUUACUAAGAAGGAGGUUGUAAGAGGUGUACCUAAGAUAGACUUCACAGAGAACACUGUGUAUGGGGGUUGUCAACUGGGAAAACAAACUAGAUCUGCACAUAAGAAUUUGAACCACUUAGGGACAUCUAAACCGUUAGAGUUACUUCCCAUGGACUUGAUGGGACCAUCUAGGAUUCAAAGUUUGGGUGGAAAACGUUAUAUCUUGCUUAUUGUUGAUGAUUUUACUCGAUUUGUAUGGAGUGCUUUCUUACAUGAAAAAGCUGAUACUUUUGAUUUUUUUUCUGAGAUUUGUCUUCGUCUUAUGAAUGAGCGUAACGAUAAAAUUAUACGUAUUCGAAGUGAUCAAGGGGGAGAAUUCAUAAAUUUAAAAUUUGUUGAUUUUUGUGUUUCAAAUGGCAUUAAACAUGAAUUCUCGGCUCCUUAUACACCCCAACAAAACGGAGUGGUAGAACGCAAAAAUCGGGUUGUACAAGAAAUGGCACGUGUUAUACUUCAUAGUAAGUAAAUUGCUUUACAUUUUUGGGCCGAAGCGGUUAACACGGCCGUCUAUGUUAUCAAUCGGAUUUAUGUGCAUCUGGGUACCUUGAAUACUCCAUAUGAACUUUGGCUUUGUAGGAAACCUAAUAUUAAAUACUUUUGUGUCUUCGGGAGUAAGUGUUUAAUCCUUCGGAAUCGUGAAAAUCUUAGAAAAUUUGACUCCCGAAGUGACGAGGGGAUCUUUCUUGGUUAUUCUACUACAAGUCGUGCUUAUCGUGCGUAUAAUUUACGAACUAAGACGGUGAUAGAAUCUAUCAAUAUAAAAGUAGAUAAAGCUUCUUCUGUAAGUUCUUCUGUGAAUGGUUCUUCUAAUUCUUUGGUGAAUGAUGAUGAUAAUGACUCUCUCCAUUUGUAUUGCCUGUGAAUGAUGAUGUUUCUGCUUUUGAUAAUUCCAUUGCAUCUUCUGAAAAUGUUGCAUCAAUUGAGUCAUCUGAGCCUCAAAGCAUUUCAUCUGAAAUACCUAGUACAUCAUCUGAGACUACAUCCUUGAGAGAGUCAAGAGAUCACCCUCUAUCGAAUGUCAUUGGAGAUCCAAGUGUUAGUGUGCGAACUAGAAGUCAACUUCAAUGUGAAUUUGCAUAUUAUGUUUCUCUAAUUAAGCAAAAGAAUAUUGACGAAGCUCUUCUUGAUGAAUAUUGGAUAAAUGCCAUGCAAGAAGAACUUGGUCAAUUCAUCCGCAAUGAUGUAUGGGAAUUAGUGCCACGUCCUGAGCAACAAAAUGUUAUUGGUACUAAAUGAAUUUUUAAAAAUAAAAAAAUAAGGAUGGUACAGUUGUUCGAAAUAAAGCUAGACUUGUUGCUCAAGGUUAUUCACAAAUUGAGGGGAUUGAUUUUGAUGAAACUUUCGCCCCGGUUGCCCGUCUCGAAUCUAUUCGUAUUUUGUUCGCGAUAGCUUGUCAUUUUAAAAUUACUCUUUAUCAAAUGGAUGUUAAAAGUGCAUUUUUGAAUGGUUUUCUAAAAGAGGAAGUUUAUGUGGAACAACCAAAAGGUUUUGUAGACUCUAAAUUUCCAAAUCAUAUUUUUCGACUUAAGAAAGCACUUUAUGGACUCAAACAAGUACCGCAAGUAUGGUAUGAACGAUUAACAAAAUAUCUUUUAGAAAAGGGAUACAACCGAGGGGGAGCGGAUAGAACCCUUUUUAUAAAACACACUAAAAAUGAUUUUGUUGUGGCACAAAUUUAUGUGGAUGACAUUGUCUUUGGCGCAGCUAAAGAUACAGUUGCUACUGAAUUUGCAAAGUUGAUGACUAGUAAGUUCGAGAUGUCUAUGAUGGGUGAGCUCUCAUAUUUUCUUGGUCUUCAAGUUAAACAAUCAAAGGAAGGAAUUCAUUUGUCUCAAACCAAGUACGCAAAGGAAUUGGUUAAGAAAUUCAGUUUGGAUAGAGCAAAGAACUUUGAUACACCGAUGGGAACAAGUAAUAAAGGACUUGGAGUGAAUGUUUAAGGACAAAAUGUGGAUGAGAAACAGUACAGGAGCAUGAUCGGCAGUUUACUGUAUUUGACCGCGAGUAGACCGGAUAUUGCUUUUAGUAUGGAAAUUUGUGCUCGCUAUCAAGCUAAUCCAAAGAAAAUUCAUUUGAAAGCGGUUAAGAGAAUCAUACGAUAUGUUAAAGGUACAACCGCUUAUGGUCUAUGGUAUCCUAUGGGGACGUCUUUGGACUUAAUCGGCUACUCGGAUGCGGAUUGGGCCGGUUCUGCGGAUGAUCGAAAAAGCACCAGUGGAGCAUGCUUUUAUAUAGGCCACCGUCUAGUUGUGUGGCAUAGUAAAAAAUAAAACUGUAUUGCACUCUCCACUGCUGAGGCGGAAUACAUUGCGGCCGGUAGUUGCUCUAUACAGUUACUGUGGAUGAAAAGUUUAUUGAGUGAUUAUCGAAUCUGCUCCACCACUUUUACAAUUCUAUGUGACAACACGAGUGCCAUUAAUAUUUCAAAAAAUCCUGUUUUACAUUCUCGAACAAAGCAUAUUGAACUAAGAUAUCACUUUUCAAGAGAAUUGGUUGAAUCAAACGUUCUUCAACUUGAAUAUAUUUCAACCGAAAAUCAACUUGCGGUCAAAAACGUUUUUUACAUUUAAGAAAUGCUAUUGGUAUGAAUCUUUCAAACUAGAUGCAUUCUAUUGGGCCAUAGAUCAUGCGCAUAUUCCAUUUUGUUUCUGUGCAUGUUUUUAUUUUUAUUUUCCUGAUUAUUUUUGAGAGAUGGUUGUUCCUCAUGGAUGGUGUUGCUGUCAAUUUCAUGAUUUUGUGAGCUCUAUCAUAUGACUUUAAGUGUUUCAUAUUAUGUUUUGAUUAAUCACUAUCAAUGUUAUUCUCUAUUGUCAUAAUUUUUGAUCGAUCAAAUCAUUGAAAUUCUGUUUUAGUAUACUAAAUUAAAUUCAACACCUCAUGAUUCGAACUUUGAUUGUUACAAUUGGUUUGUUUGAUUAUUAGCUAUGAGAUGAAUAACUAUUUCUCUGUUUUUGAAAUUACGAUAAUAUUUUUGAUUUGAGGGUUGCACUAAUUUAGGGGGAGUCUUUCUAGUUAUGAAAAUUUCUUAAAUUCAAAAAAUGUGGAAAGAGUUACAUCCCUACUGGGAGUGUGAAAACUACCACCACAUGGAGGAAAGAGCUACCACCCCGAUCGUCCGGUCAGUGUGUGCACCUACCACAUGAUGAGCAAAGUAUCUCUAUAAAAAAAAAGAUGUGAAAUAGAGAAUAAAUAAGUGGAGAUGGUAAGAUUCUAAAUAAUAUGUUUAAUACAUCUCUUAGGCGAUAUAAGGUGGUUAGUUAAAAGAUGCUCAAAGAGCCACUCCUAUCUCGAAUAAUGUGCAUAACUCAAUUUGAGGGUAUUAUUUUAAUUUCACGAUUAUGUGAUUUAUUUAUUCAUUUUUCUUAACAAAUAUGAUAAUAAGACAAUACAAUCAAUUCUUAGAUCUUGCAUGAUGUGUGGAAUUUUAUUUGAUACUUGUCAAGAAUUUUAUUUGAUUUUCGGAUCAACAAUUUUUGACAAAUUGAAUAUCUUUGAAAUUAAUUUUUCAAAAUUGAUUUAUGAAAUUUUAUUGGAAGUCAUUGGGGAUGGAAAUUGAGUAUUUUUGAUAUUGGACAUUUUGAGGAUAUUAUAUAAGAUUUCUAAAAAAUCUAAACAAAAUUUAAAUUUUUUUUUUGGUUUGGCUCUGGGACCGGUCCCAGACUUGGAGAGACCGGUCCCUCCGCCCGACCCGAUAUAAGGGUCUUGUUCAGUGCUCUUUGUACUCUUUUCAAAACAGUUUCUACUUUCUCACACGAGCUUCUACAUUCCUUAGAGGCAUUUUACCUCCAUUCUUCGUUGGUUUACACGUGUUUUUGGUACGUUUUUCGGAUUUUAUUUCUUUCUUAUCAUCUACUCCGAAAAUAUGUUUCAUAACCCUAGUUUCUUUAUUUUUAGUCAACAACUGAGCCCUAUCUGUGUUUGCUGCAUGAUUUGUCAAUAUUUUUUCAUAAUAUCAUGGCCCUAGGAUUAUCUAGUUCAUUAUAUAUCAUUUUAACAAAUUUUUGGACAUUCAAAAGCGUGAUAUUCUUAUGUUCUAUGUGUAUAUCACAUACUGCUUGUAACAGGGGCAUCUUCAAAAUGUAUUCUUGGUUUCUAGUGCUUGUAUUUCUUAUGGCUGGUGGUGGUCGAGGCAGCAAACGUCAACGUUCCUCGGCUAAGCGAUCGGUUGAGCAACAACUGGAAGAUGCGGGUAGCGAAUAUGCUCCGGGCGAAGAGUCUGAGGAAGACGAGCCAGAUUGGGAGGCAUUUACUCCAGAGGUUCUAUCUAAGGAUAAGGACAAAAGAAAAGGAAAGAGCAAAGGAAAGACAGUUGAUAAGGGAAAAGGAAAAGCACUGGAUAAAGGAAAAGAAAAGGCGACUGAAUAUGCAGGUCGGAGGAAGUCUGGGGGUUUUGAGAUUAGAGAGCCGGGUUCUGAGCCUCCUGGUCUCAGUGUGCAGGAUGUUCCUUCAAGUCGUAGGUCAAUGUACUCCUCAAAGCACUGUAUUGGUGAGCGAGAUGUUGGAGUCGCUAGUAUCAUUGAGUGUGUGCCGGGGUUUCAAGAUCUUUUUAAAAGAGGAAAUUUACAUCAGAUUUGCGAUUUCCCGGAGCAGAUGGUUUUGGUUUGGAGCUGAUCAGAGAAUUCUACAUGAGGGCGGGUCAUUUGAGUGACUCUGAUGGAGGUCCCUACCAGUUUACUACUUCCGUAUGUGGUAUGGAGCUGACGAUCACACCUGAUUCUAUCGCUACAGUCCUGGAGAUGACCGCUUGCACAGAUGGGGCUGAGUAUUUUCAGGCCAGUUUCGAUCAAUUUAGAGAUUGGCAAAAGAUUUUGGACGCGAUAUGUAUGCCGGGUACCGAACCAAAUGCACUUAUGGUUCUUUCUAAGGAUCUCAAGAUGGAAUAUAGGUUUUCAAACUUCGUGGUUUGCUACAAUAUCUUGCCGUUAGCCAACACGAAGAUAUUGAGAUGGGAUCGUGUCCUCUAUAUGUACUUAUUAGGACACCCGGACAUUGUACAAGCCAAGAACAUAAACAUGAACAUUCCGUUUUUGAUUUGGCGGCGGAUGGCAAAGGACAUCAAGACUUCCGGGCAGAAUGAAAGGUUGUCGUUUUCGUUGAUUAUCAUGUGGAUUCUUCGAUAUAACGAUGUGAAUACGAGGUGUACUUCCUAUGAGCAUAGCUUAGGACGAAUUAAUGAGAGGACGUUUGCAAAGUCGAGCGUGCAGCUUCGAUCUCUGUCUCAACGAACUUCUACACCUUCGUCUGCUCCACAUCCUACUGUCCCUGGAUCUUCACGUCCUCCUGUGGAUGUUUCUGAGGAGGAAGUGUCCGUGUCGUCUGUGUAUCGCGAGCAGCAGCGUUUAUCUAAGGAACUACGGAAGAUGUCUGCGGAGCAAGCUGAGAUAAAGAAAGAUAUGAGCAAGAUCAAACGGCUAAUGUAGGCAAUUUUCGACAAGUUAGGAUGUUGCAGUGCAGAUCUACUUCUGGGUGAUGACUCUGAAUGAGUUUACAUGGUUUCUCUUUUUGGUCCUUUUUGGCUCUUUCGGACAAAAAGGGUGAGAUGAUGACUGAUGACUUAGAGAUGCUCAUGGAGAUGAUGAUGAUGAUGCUUAUUUCGCUGAUGAUGUUGAUGCUUAUUUUGCUUUGUUGAUGCUUUGUUGAUGCUUUGUUGAUGCUUAUUUUGCUUGGUUGCUUUGCUUAGUUAUGAACAUUUAGAUGCUUUGUGGAUAUACUUAGAUGAACUUUGACUGACUAUGUUCAGAUGAACUAUUACUGACUAUGUUAUCGUUUUAUAUGAUAAGUUUUCUUGAAUCUUGAUUAGGUUUUAAGAAUGUUUUUGCAGGAAUGUUCAAGGCUUCAACACUCCAUGUCUAAGUCAUAGAGUUUGUAUUGAGGUUGUGAGAAAAAUGUAAUUUUGCUUUUAUUGGAUCGAUCAUGCAUGAAAUUAUCGUUUGGUGAUUGCGAUGAUCUUCUUUUUAUUGUUUCUGAGUUGUGUUUGAGCGUUGUAUUAUGUUUUGUCACGAAAUCGCCAAAGGAGGAUAUUGUUAAGGAUUUUCUAGGUUGGCGGAUUUCGUGAAGUCGAAAGGAGUCUUGAAGAGUUGAUCGUGGAAGUUUGAAGAGAAGAUUCACUUUGAAGAAUCAAAGACUUGUUCGGAAAGCUAGACACCUCAGGUAUGAAUGUUAGAUCAUUUGUGGUGUGUUUAAACUAUCUAAAUAUAAGUUUAGAAGACUUGGAUUGCUAUAGAAAACUCAAACUAAGGUUUUCAAUGUGCCGGGACCGGUCCCCUGAGAUGAGAGACCGGUUCCCGAGAGUCCUCUCUGCGUGAUAGUUCAAGACAGCCGGUCUCCUGAUCUGAGAGACCGGUCUCCAGGGCGAGGCAACCGGUCUCUGAUCUGAGAGACCGGUUUCCGAACAUGGGAUUUUUUGUCACGCAGCGAGGGACCGGUCUCUGGCAUGAGAGACCGAUUCCCGAACGUUGUGUUUUCUGUCACGCAGCGAGGGAUCGGUCUCUUACUCGAGGGACCGGUCUCCCAAAGACCGGUCUCCUCGAGAGGACUGGUCCCUGAGGACGACACCAGUUUUUAAAAAUAGACUUUUUGCAAUCCUAGUCUACUUCUAAGCCUUCUAAACCUAUAAAUAAGCCAUGGGGGUUAUCAUAUGGUUUAAGGCUUUGAAUUUAUACUGUUCUAAAACCCUAGAAACUUGUUUUCACAUUCUUAUGAUUUUAUUCACAUAACAAGUUUCAUAUAAUCAACGAUCGACUUGAUUUUUCGAUUUUAACUCGAGAUAUUCUUCGAGAAUCAAGUAGAUGUUUGAUUAGAAGGUGAACCCUCAUUGCUUAUGGUGUUCUAAGUCUUAAUCACCACAAAUCAUCAAUUCUACAAACUCCGGAAGGAGGUUCGGCGCGUGGACUCGCGUGAAGCCGAGGAUUCGGUAGACGCUUUGAGGAGUUGAGGCGUUGGCGCAGCAAGGAGUUGCGGUGAGGUCAAUUGGAGGAUUCCUAUCAAUCGAGGACUGGCGAAGAUCAUCAACAACGGGAAUUCGGUAAAUUGAGUCAUGUAUUUUGGUUAAAUCACUUGUACUCAAGUUUUCUUAGUGGAUUUUCUUCGCGUGAUCGGUUCCGUGGGUUUUUCACUCCGGAUUGGAGUUUUCCCACGUUAAAAUCUCGGUGUGCUUGUUUUUAUUUUCCGCUAUCUCUUUUAUUUGCAUCGAGAGUUUUUAUUUUUGCCGUUUUACACCUAUUCACCCCCCUCUAGGUGUUAUUUAUCUUUUAGAUCCUCGGGAUCCAUAUCUUACAUCGGCGCCCAAUCCCGCACGAGCGAGCAUAUGUCGCGAUGGCUAUCUCCGGAGUGCCGGCUUGUAGGGAGCGACCCUCACAAGCAUCUGCGAAUGAGCACAAUGGCAAGCAAGCGAAAGAUCUGUUUCAAGUACCAAGUCCUCAUGUCUAAAAAUAUGGAAUAUAUGUCACAUAUCUCAAUGGCCUAUCUCUAUGUCAUCAUGUCUACAACAUGAAAAAUAAAAGAUAUCAAUGGCCUAUUACUAUGUCCCAUUUAGUAGUUCAUAGGUUUCAAUGCCAUGUGCCCCUUUAUGACAUUUUUGGUCUCUAUGUCCAAGCAUGAUAAUUAUGAUCAUGAAUGCAUAAUUCUAAUCAUUUUUGUCGUACGAGACAAGUACCCAACUCGCAAAAGAACCACUUCUCACAUGUAUGCUAAAAAUCCCGAAUACCCUACUACAUAGAGUGAAAAUUUCAUAAUACAUAAAGCAUGCAUUUUAAAGGUUCUAAAAUUCGCAUACAUUCUAUUUAACAUGAAUAUGUAGUCAAAUUGACGUUACGACUAGUAUAGAAUACAUAGGGACCAUUUUGCCUCGUUUUCAUAAAGCCAAACCCACCGAAGUUACCGAAACCCUUCGUAAGCUCCAACGAAGGUGUCCACUAGCCUCCUAGCACCCUAAAGAUGUAGGAACAAGAGUUAAACGGACCUUACGAUUAACCCUGAACUCAAAAUUAAACAACUCAAGAAAAGGGUGAAAACUCACCGAAUGCGAAGGAAACUCUCUCGAUCUCCAAAUGGGAGCUAGAGUCCUUCAAGUCCAACCUAAACAAAGGUUCUAAACCAAUCAAUUAGGUUCUAGAAGCCUCCAACCAAGAAUCCCCACUUCUAACCCUAAUAUCACAUUAUAGGGUUUCCUCUAGUAGAAACUACCAAAACUUGAUCCAAGAGGGAGAUUAAGUACACUAACCUCACAAGAUGCUCAAAACCAAGCUCCAAGUCUCCUAGGAUUGAAGGUUGAUCCCCUAUCAAGCUCCAACCAAGAUCUCAAGCUUCUCCAAUGGUGGAAAACCCACAAAAAGCAAGAAGGAGAAGAAGAAAGAGAUCAAAACUAGCUAAAACCAAACAAAAAUGGAGAAAAAUCAAGGGGGAAGAGCUCACCUUUGUUCUCCACUGGUCUAGGGCUCAAAAGAGCCCCCCAAGGGCUGUGGUGGUGUUUAAAUAAAGAUGCAGCAAUUGCAAAAACACCCAUGCCCGAAAACUGCCCAUUCUGCACUGCGUACCGAUACACGGGAUUGUGUACCAGUACACAUCCCACGAACCAGCCCAACCCGAGCCUCGGGUUGGCACACAGUCUGCUAAUGCAGAUGGUUGUACUGGUACAGCCAUCAACCUGUACCGGUACACAGCCCUGCUGAAUGCUACCUGAGAGCACACCAAUAAUCCAACUUUUUGGAUUUUGGUGCCAAGUUUUAAACCUCAAUUCUCGGGACUCGAACCAUAGGUCGGAACAUUGUCCACAACCCUCCACAAAGUGUGGAAAAGUUCGGAACACAAAUCAAACACUCGAACCUCGCUAUUUGCAAAAGUCCAGUGUGUUACAGAUUCCAUGUAUGAUUAAUUGGAUACCUAUGUUAUAGGAUACAUUGCACGUUGACUCCUUUAGGGUCAAUAGAGAACUCAACAUUUGAAUGUAAAAAUUUAGUGCCAUUGGAACAUAGGUUGGAAAUAUAUGGUAAGGUGAUUACUUGGACAUGAGGACUUUAACUUAGAAAGGUAGACAAUAUAGAGUAAAGACAAUGGACUCUUGUGACUAUGAAAGAAGGGAUUCCAGAACUCCUAAUAAUCAAUGGCCGGGGUGUAAAAUUGCCACCUAAUGUCACUCCCCGAGGCCCUUCUUGUAAAGCUUUUUUUGAAGAAAAAGCCGGUUCGAAAGUGAAGUUAGCGAAAAAUACCUUUUUUUUUUGAAAUACAAACAUACCACAGGACAGGACAGACCAGCCAUAAAAACAUGUUUUUCCCUAUCCACUAGGACAGAAUCUCCCUUGUAUUUGCAUGGCAUACCACUACAAGAGUCGUUGCAACACUACAUUCAAUCACACAAGCAGCAUCCACAAUGCAUAUGCUCACGACAAUCAUUAAGCUAGCAAUCCUUAGAAUAAUGCAUGCCCUAAAUACUCCUUAGGCGAAGAAUGAUGCAAAUGCACAUUACAGCAAUCAAUUCUAUUGUUUGAAAGUGUUUUCCACCCGGAAACUUUAUUUUGAAAUACUAAGGAUUGAGAAAACCAAAAAGCCUUUUGAAAAUAGUCUCCCACACGGAAACCCAUUUUUUGAAAACGCCGACUACCUCGAGGAGUAGAAAACCACAUAUCAUACGACUAAAAUAUCAUCUCACCGAAAAUUCCAGAAGAAUUAUUAUUUCAAAUACUUGCAACUAAAAGAUCAUCCAUCUCAAAGAUUAUUCAAAAACCAACAGUCAAACAAACAGGUAACUGAACCACAAUUUUUUAUAUAUUAACUAUAAAAGAAGUGGGUCAAACCGGAAUAACCAUAACCAAUGCAGAUGUGUCGGGACCUCUAGAGCUCGCCAGCUAUCACAACUCACGCACUAUCCCGACUCUCACCACUGAGAUCACUUGAAAGAGGGGGGGUGUCACGCCCCGGGACCGAUACCAAUUUGGGCCGGCCCGAGCACGUCAAACAGACACCGAACGGACAGAGUUUCCCCUAUGCGCCCAAAGGCUCAUCACCUGUACAUUUUCAAACAAGAAGUGCACUAGCGGAAACAUAUACAAACGGCUUACACGAGGGUAAGCAAUAGCCAUGAGUGAAAGAAAGGAAAACUAACAUUCAUUUUGUACUAUGAUUCACUUUAGAUCAUAUACAUUACAUCCAACUUGUACAUUUUCGAUUCUUUACAUUUCAUUACAACAUUUCAUCAUUUCCUUCGUACAUCACAUUUACCUCAAAAGAGAGCUUUACAUUCUUUUCUUUACAUCAUUAAUCAUCAAAUACAAAAGAUGAACAUAGGGUACUCUAUUAGCAAAAUGUAAACCAAACUCAAUUCUGGUGGCCUCUAUUUACUGUGCGAUACCUUUACCGCGGUCGCUCGCCGGCUCGCUCGGUCCCGGCCCUGUGGAAUACUGGGGUGAGAACUACAACAAAGUUUCCAGUGGGUUCAGCCCCAAUCUCACCGAUUUUCCCACUAGGACUAACUCAUGCAUAAUAGAAAGGAUAAGCAGAAAUAUAGUAACCAAUCUAUAACAUGAUGCUAAUAUGCCUGAGCAAUAAAGCAAGGAGUAUGCUUAAUAUAAAACUCAUGCAGAUUAUGCAAGUUUCUUUUGCUCUUUCAAUUUACUCUUUGUUCCUUGUUCUUUAUUCUUUGUUCUUUAAUCUCACGGCUAACCUAGGGAUUUCGCCACAUUAACUUGCCCACAUUAAGUCCAUCAUCACAGGCCCUCAGCUGCCUCCCGCUAAAACCGUCCUCAGGUUUACUCCAACCCGUGAUGCAAAACUCCGGAGCGCAUCGCGCGACGGGGAGCGACCGCCCUCGAGCACGGAACUCAUAGCAAGUAUGAUCGAUCCUUAACUCUAAGGAUAUAUAGUUCAAUCAUUGUCUUUACACUAACUCUAGUGUUCUUUACAUCACUUUAUUUUGCUAACUCUAGCAAUCAUCGUUCUUUAACUUUACUCAUUCUUUAUGCCAUACCUUGCAUUAACUUUAACCAUUAUCAUUGUUCUUUUCAUCACAUUGAUUCUUUGAUGCCACACACACUAACUCUAGUGUCGACUAUAUACUUUCGAAUGCCACUCGAUCUAUGCUCUUGUGUCACUUUGUUCUUUUAUCUCAUUAGGUUCUCACAUUACCUCUCAUGCAUAUAUAGGGUGUUAUAGGUUCUCAACCAACUAGAAAUGCACGUGUACUCACAUCAUGCAACAUUUACAUAAUUAUCAUCACAUUUUACCCUACAAUGCAUGCAACAACAUAUACAUAAAUGCUCAAUUAAAUGACACAUUAGGCAUAGAGGGAAUUCCAACAAGUUUGGAUAGCACCACCCACCUCGUAGGUUCUCAAAGGUGCUCCGAUGAUUUUCUUGGGAUUUUUAGACACCCGGUUCGCUACCUGCGAGUUAACGAAGCCAAAUUAGGCUUAUUUGGUCAUAACUUUGCGUAGGCUUUUCAUUCGCUCCAACCGACCGCACCAACGCGUCGGAAAUACCC
rnacentral:lncRNA from 1 species